GUCCCUUUACCUUUACCUAUCAUGGUGCUGGAGGAGACUCUUGAGAGUCCCAUGGACUGCAAGAAGAUCAAACCUAUCCAUUCUUAAGGAAAUCAGCCCUGAGUGCUCAUUGGAAGGACAGAUCGUGAAGCUGAGGCUCCAAUACUUUGGCCACCUCAUGAGAAGAGAAGACUCCCUGGAAAAGACCAUGAUGUUGGGAAAGAUGGAGGGCACAAGGAGAAGGGGACGACAGAGGACGAGAUGGUUGGACAGUGUUCUCGAAGCGGGAGGUAGUGGAAGACAGGAGUACCUGGCGUGCUCUGGUCCAUGGGGUCACGAAGAGUCCGACAUGACUAAACGACUAAACAGCAAUCACAGGCAGGCUGCAUUUGCUGGGAGGAUUGUAUUCAAACGAACCUAUCGCAAGCAAGCUGCAUUUGAAUGGACCCAUCUCAGGCAAGCAAGGGGUAAGUGAGGCUUUGUGGCGGACCUGAGUGAAGACCAGGGGCUGAAGUCUGCUCACUGGGAGUAUAAAAGUCCUUGCCAUGGGCAUAGCCAAGGCGGCGGGGGGGGGGUCAGGAGGGUACCUGCUCUCCUAAAUAAAGCAAAUCACUAAAAAUACUUAACUAACUGAGGUUCUUCCUCUUCUAACAUAAAUCCUGGCUACGCCUGUGAGCCUUGUAUAUAUACAGCGGUACCUCGGGUUACAUACACUUCAGACUCCGCUAACCCAGAACUAUUACCUCGGGUUAAGAACUUUGAUUCAGGAUGAGAACAGAAAUCGUUCUCCGGUGGCACGGCGGCAGCAGGAGGCCCCAUUGGCUAAAGUGGUGCUUCAGGUUAAGAACAGUUUCAGGUUAAGUACGGACCUCCAGAACGAAUUAAGUACUUAACCUGAGGUACCACUGUACUUGUCAGCUCAGUCAAAGCUGGAUUUGGAGGAAUGAGGAAGCUCCAGAAAAGGCUUUGGAAGUAGCUGAAGAUCUGAAACUGAGCAGAGAUCGGCCCUGCAAAUGGUUGAAGACUGGAGGCCUAGGUUCAACCGGUUCUUUGGCAGAACUGGUAUUGUGAGCGUGAGUUCUUCAUCGAGCAGAGAAGGGAAGGAGUUUCCUUCACAGCCAAUCAGAAUGGCCUUACAUGAAAUCAUUAACAUUUUAAACUCUUUAACGUAACUGAAUCUGUAUCAGUUAGCCAACAAUCUGUUUUACCAAAUCGCAUUUGCUAACGUUUGCAGUUCCAUCUGUGCUGGCUCAGUUGGUUAGAGCGUGGUGCUGAUAAUGCCAAGGUCACAGGUUCGAUCCCCAUAAGGGACUGGCCACAUCUUCCUGCAUGGUAGGGGGUUGGACCCGAUGCUCCUCAGGGUCCCUUCCAACUCUACAGUUCUAUGAUAUGCCAAAACAGUUCUUUGAGUCUCCCUUUGACUUUGAGGCCCUGGGACAAAUUGCUUUCCUCCUCCAACCCCAAAUAAACCUUGCCCUCUCACAUCACUCAACUGUGUUUCUUUGGAUUCUCUGGAGAGGGGGAGCAACUAACAACACAGAUUAUGCCUGUAGCAGAGAUGUGUUGGAUCAAUGAAUGGCUAAUAGGCAAUUCAAACAAAAAUGGCUUUUUCUUUCAAUGCUCAGCUAAUGGAGCAAUUCAGGAGAGAAAGCCUUUCUCACUAAAGAACACACUGGUAGUUCUUUUACAGUCAAAGGACCUAAUGAAAACUGUUGAGUGUAUUUAGAAACAUCAGGUGUCUCAACAAUGAAAGUGCAGAUAAGCUAUGUAUUACUCAUUAUGAGAUGUUUAUAUGUACUUCCUUUUCAUAUAAUACUUUGUUUUUAAAUUGUGUCAGUUUUUGCUGCAAAUAAGAGGGUGAAGAAGCUGCAGAUGUGGUUGUUGGUUGGUUGGUUUGUUCAUUCCAUUUAAUCAGGUGCUAAUAAGCAUAAUUCUCUGUGUGAUGCACAAAAUGAAACAGAUUAAAAUCAUAGUUCCAAUAAAGCAAGACUCACUCAAGCAGUGAAUAAAACAAACUGUAAAAGCAAAACAGUCACCCCAAAACAGAGCUCGAAAGAGUAAAAACAUCAUAGCAGAAACAAAUUCAGUAUAGAAAACAAGUUGUAGAUGAGAGGGAAGUGGUCAGUUCUUUAUCCAAGUGCAUUCUCUUCCCCUGUAUAUUUUCUUUUGUGUUAACUGUGUUUCUUUGUUGUGACAUUGUUAUGUCUUAGCUGCCACGAGUUGUCUCAGUCUUUCGAUUGUUUGCAACCAUCCCCACUGAGGACUGUCCUGGGCUCCAGCCUUGCUAUAGAACUACUUCCUUUUGUACACACAAGUGACCCGCUUUCCCAGUUAUUCUGCCUCUGGAGUUUAAAAAGCCAUUUAGCAUUUCCAACUCAUCGAUAGCCAGUUGGGGUGCUCAAAAUACAUUGAAUUUUCCUCUGUGGGAAGCAGGUUAGCUGGUGCAGGUUAUUAAAAAGAUUAUAUAAUGCAAAGUGUACCUAAGCAGCUUACAUCAGAGUGUAAUAGAAAGGAAACAAACAAGAUACUUGUCAUUUCCAAGUUGUUGGUACUUGUAAAAACAAAUAAACACACAUGUGGAUUCGAGGAUGCCUAGAAUUGGCACCCCACUUGCAUCUUGAGGGUUAGAUUUGUUUUCUUCUGAUAAGCUCAGUGGGGGUGAGGGAAAGACAAGGAUUGCUGGAUGCCAGAGAGUGUUGGGAAUGAAAUUGCCAUAGAACAGUGGUUCCCCAUUGGGGGUCUGCAGACCUCAGGAAGUUGGUGGCACAUACCCAUCAAGUGUUCAGGACAUCCCAUUUGGAGGGGGUGCUCUUGCGUGGGUCAUGUGAUGCAUGCGGGAGCAUGGUCUGUAAGACGCAUGUCCUGGUUUGGGGAUCAUUAAGAUAAUGAUCCCAUCUCCGAAGAAAUUCAUUUUCUCUUCUUCUGUGCAGUCUGUGAAAUAUCUGUUCAGAUACAGAUGUAUAAAGUCAGGAUGGCAUGCUGAGAUUAUUCUAGGAAGCAUGCUAAUGCAUCCUGGGAACUUUUUGUCCUAUUAGCUGAGUUCCAUAAUAACUAUUUUCUAUUUUCUAUUAGUUCACAGCAAUGUGAUUUUAAGAUCUUACCAGCAUGCAUUACCCUCAAUGAGGGUUCGUAAUAAGCCCUAAUUUGCAGCUCACUUGGUUUACUAUUUCAUCUCUGAUAUGUGCUUUCAGCAUGGAGGGUUUUGUUACUUUAAGAAUCUACAAAUUAUUUAAUUAUUCUUUGUUGAAUCUCAGUCUUUUGAUGAAGGGAAACAGAUAGACCUCAUUUUCUUCCUUUAAUACACUUUUAGUUCUUUUGUCAGCCAGCAGACCAGAUAGCACCCUAGUCAAUUUCCUCCUUCUGGUGUAUUUAAAGUUUUGAAAUCAUUCUUGGUUGUCUUAAUGCUUUUAGUGAUGUGCUCCUCAAAGUCUUUAAUUUCUCAUUUUGUUUUUGUAUUCUUUCUUUUUUUCCCAUAGAGAUAAAUGUGUGAG